UGCGUUACCGUGACAAUCUGCCGCCUAUCGUCGUCAGACCGCAGUCGAACGCAGCAAGACACACACACGCCACGAGAAGCUCUUGAAGAAAAGUAUCCCGGAAAACUUUCGUUGUUUGGAAGUUAUUGACAGGCUUGCCAACCCUUCCAAGUGCUCCACCAUGACGUAUAAGAUCACCUUCGUCUGUGCUGUUAUUUUUGCGCUCUUCCAUGGAGGAGCGGCGCUCAAGUGUUACAUUGGAUCUGGAGACACAAUCAAAACUGACGACUGUAGAGGAUCUUGCAUAAGCAUCACAGUAAAAUCCGAUGACAAAACGACCAAAGCCAAAGGGGUGCUCGCCCGUCCACUUCGAUGACGGCUGCCACGAAACGACGGUGUUGGUGCAUACCACGACGUGCUACUGCAACAGCGACUACUGCAACGCCGCUCCGGGCGCCCUCAGCGCCGCCUCAUGGACGAUGGCGCUCUCUGCCCUGGCGCUGGCACUGCGCGGGGCGCUGUUCUAAGGACCGGCCAGACACAGGCGGGGGAACGGACACGCAUGCACGCACGAGCAGCACAAGAACCGCACGCAGGGGGGGACACAGACUUGCACAUGAACAUGCACACGACUACGCACAACACAAACACAAAGCAAUAGAUGCUUUACAACCACUUUUUGUUUCUUUAAGGCUUUAUGACUUUGUUAUUUCAGACAUUAUGCAGUGUUUUCCUUAGACUUUUUUUUUUUUUUUUUGUAAAAUUGUACAACCAAUUUCUUUUACCUUUUUGACCUUG
rnacentral:lncRNA from 1 species